GCCCGUGUGGCUCAGUGGGUAGAGCGUCAGCUUGUGGACUGAAGGAUCCGGGUUCGAUUCCAGUCAAGGGCA
rfam:Myotis brandtii contig278545, whole genome shotgun sequence.